UCCAGUGAGGUAGUAGGGUUUUUAGUGCUUUCCAUUUUCUGGGGUAAGUGGAAAGCACUAAAAACCCUACUACCUCACUGGA
rnacentral:pre_miRNA from 13 species